AUUUUUAUGGAGAGUUUGAUCCUGGCUCAGGAUGAACGCUGGCGGCGUGCCUAAUACAUGCAAGUCGAGCGAACGGACGAGAAGUUUGCUUCUCUGAUGUUAGCG
rnacentral:rRNA from 1 species